AAGGUCCUAGCUUAAUGAAAGUGUCUGAGUUGCAUUUAGGAGAUGCAGGUUAAUAUCCUGCGGACUUUA
rnacentral:tRNA from 1 species